CACCCCUGGAGGCUGAGCGGUGUCACAGCUUCACCUCAUCCAGGUUCAGCUGCAGCCACUUCAUUCUGCGGCUGAGUCCCUGACAAUGAGCCUGGCCGCUUUGCUGCUGGUGCUGGCUCCAGGUGCGUUGGCCCAAUACACGGUGACCCAGGAGCCGUCCCAGGUCGCUGCCAAUGAAGGAGAACCCAUCCAGCUCAACUGCUCCUACACGGGCACCGAGUACAGCGUGCAUUGGUACCGCCAGCCCCAGGGGGGCCAGCCGCGGAUCCUGGCGCUCCUGUCCUCUAGCGGCAGAGACACCCGAGAGAAUUUCACCAUGAGCCUGGACACCAAAACCAAAAGCAGCUUCUUGUACCUGAACAGCAGUCGCCUGGCAGACUCUGCUGUGUAUCUGUGCGCGCUGGAGCACAGUGCUAGGGGAGCACAGGCAGCCCGUCACAAAACCCUGGGUGGGGGCAGGGCACAUGGACCCGAGAGAGGAGACAAGGAGAAGUUAGAAUAGAACAGCGGAUAUGUGCACAGAGAGAAGAAAGGAAAGUAGAACAGAGUUGGCGAGAGGCAAUAAGAAUAGAAUGGAACAGAAGAGAACA